rnacentral:lncRNA from 1 species
AAAACCAUAUAAUGAUAUUUGUUUCUCAAGACCAGGCAUAAAAGAAUAGUUUUGAUAUGGUUCCUGUGGACCACCAGAUGAAAUGCAGGGAUUUAUUUGAAAACACGGGCUCUCUCUCCCUCUCUCUCUCUCUCUCUCUCUCUCUCUCUCUCUCUCUCUCUUCUUCUCGUCGUCGUACGUAGUACGUAGUAAGUAAGUAAGUAGUAGUAGUACGUACGUACUACGUACUACUACUACUACUACUAACUACUNNNNNNNNNNNNNNNNNNNNUUUCGUUCCUAACGAACCAACGGACGACUAAAGUAAAUAAGUUUAGUUAGUAUGUUCCGUUCGUGGUACGACCACGAUGUAAUAGUCAGGAGUUAUUUGUAACAACGGACGUCUCUCUCCUCCUCUCUCUCUCUCUCUCUCUCUCUCGAUUUUAUCCUCUCUUCGUUGUUCCUGCAAGAGCUAUUUAAAGAGAAGAGGUGAGCAGUAAUCCUUUUCCCAAGCUCUCAAGACCAAUCAAAUCUCAAAGGACUUUUUUUUUUCUUUUUUUCUCUACUAAUGAUUCCAUUGUCUCUCUUCCAAUGGAUGAUUUACCCAAACACUCCGACCUUGGUUUUCCCUCUUGUACACAGAUUUGGACCUAGGUUUUCUCUGCCCUCUGGUAAUGGGUGUUUCAAUUAUUGUUGUUGAGAAUGGACGAGACCAAUGAUAACAGAGAGUUCAUGGUGAGCCUACCGCAAAUUCUCCACAAAAAUUUCUACUGUUCAGCCUGAUUCGAAAUCUCCAGAUUCUGAAACUGCCUCCUUAAUUGGCGGACGAUUUCCAGUGGUUGAGAGCACCAUCGGAGUUGGUGGCGAAGUUGGGGAAGAAUUUGUGGAAGGAGAGGGUGGCCAGGCAUUUUCUGAAAGGAGGCGGCCAUGGAGGAUUUGGUGGUGGCCGAGGUUUGGGGGGCCGCAGGGAGCGCAGCUGGUGUUAAUGGCGAGGAAGCAGCGCAUAGAGGCAACUUUGAAAGAAAAAAGCAGAGAUAAACAUACGUAUUCAGGAGACAGAGACUAUGAAUUGGAUAUUACGAGAGAGCCGUCUCUGUCGGGAGUGAAUCAUGAGAAACAUGGAUAUUUGUGAGAGAGAAACUGUUGGUCGCGUAUUGGGUACUUUGUACUAGGAAAUAGCUAUCUUUUGAGAGCAACAACUCAAAAGGACGAUACGUGACCAGCAUCGGAUAUUUUCUAUUAUGAUACUAUGUUAUAAUUCAUGAAAGCAUAUACACAGAUAUUAUAUGGAGAGUGAACACAACAAUUACUCGAGACUUUACGUCCACAGAUCCAAAGCCCCAAUAGGCUAUAUCUUUAUUAAUUGGUUUAGGAGGUCGAGGCGUCCAUAAAUCCAAAGCCCCAACAUGGAAUAUCUUCAUUAUUUUUGGAUAGAUGUUUAUAAAAGCCCCAAUAGGCUACAUCUUCACUAUUUUCAUAUGAAUAUUUACAUAUAAAUACCCUUAUAUUUAGAGUUUCAGAUUGAUAUUUACAUAUAAAUGCCUCUAUAUUUAGAGUUUUAGAUGGAUAUUUACAUAUAAAUACCUCUAUAUUUAGAGGACAAUCACACAAUUACAUGAGAUAAAUAUGGUACGAUUCUUAAUAUAAAGUUUCAGAUGGAUAUUUAUAUAUAAAUACCUCUAUAUUUAAAGGACAAUCAUACAAUUACAGGUGAUAAAUAUGAUACGAUUCUUGCAAAUAAAGGUAAAUAGUAUGAGGUCUUAUCACCAAACUCAAAACUUAAGUUAGUUUGACUUGGUCUCUUCUAAUCUUCUAAAUACCUAAGCGAUAUAUACCCAUACAUCCAUAAUAAUGUAUACCACUAGAAACACAAGAUAUUCAUAUCCUAACAAUACAAUCAUUAAAGGUGAAAUUUAAUAGCUUGAGUGUGUCACAAAGUUCACGAAAAUUUAUUUUGAACUUUGAGCUUGGUCAAUUGAAUAAAUGUAGACACUCAAUUUCACAACCAACGGUCAAGAUUAAUUCUAACCAUCUUGUAUAAAAAAUAAAUGGUCACAUUAUUUUUUUUUCAUGUUAUAUAUUAUAGACUUUUCCUCAUGUUGUUAUAUAACUCAAGUACUAAAACAACAUAGGCAAGUACCAAGAUUGAGUUGAGAGAAAACCAUGCUCCAUAUAGCUAUCCCACUUUUCAACUACAAUCUUGUAAUUGAUUAAUAAUAUAUCCAUUAUACCCUAACUUCCUCGCUAUCUCUUCCUUGGUCAUCUCUAUUGCCAUAUAAAUAUGACCUAUGGUCAGUUUCCCCUUCUCACAAUUCACCAUUGCAUUCACUAAAGGUGUAACACAUUCACUAAAGUGAGUAGGUCAUCUCAUUCCAAAAUUAAGGUUGCAAAAACAAUAUACCUACAUGCUGUUGGUCCAUUGUUUAGAGACAAAAGAAUUGUAUAAAAAGAGUGCAUCUUGGAACAAGUUAUUUGGAUCGUAUAUUUUCAAGACUUAUCUCGAUUUGCACCUUUUUAAAAUUUCAAAUUUUAUAAUUAGGAUUAAACCUAGACUUCCAAUCCAUGAUAGCGUUACCCACAUAUAACUCAUCUCCCUGCAACUAAUGACCCAGAUGGCCUCCCAUGUUAAUUUGAAAAGCACUUAAUUUGUAAGAAUAAUAAAAUAAAAAGAGCACUUAGUUAGAAAACGACUUAAUUUUGUCGUAAUUUGAAGAAGAAUUU